CGUAGGGUGCGAGCGUUAAUCGGAAUUACUGGGCGUAAAGCGUGCGCAGGCGGCGCCGCAAGUCAGGCGUGAAAUCCCCGGGCUUAACUUGGGAAUGGCGCUUGAAACUACGGUGCUGGAGUGUGGCAGAGGGAGGUGGAAUUCCACGUGUAGCGGUGAAAUGCGUAGAGAUAUGGAGGAACACCGAUGGCGAAGGCAGCCUCCUGGGCCAACACUGACGCUCAUGCACGAAAGCGUGGGGAGCAAACAGGAUUAGAUACCCUGGUAGUCCACGCCCUAAACGAUGAUGACUAGUUGUUGGGGGAGUUAAAUCCCUUAGUAACGCAGCUAACGCGUGAAGUCAUCCGCCUGGGGAGUACGGUCGCAAGAUUA
rnacentral:rRNA from 1 species